rnacentral:rRNA from 1 species
CUCUUGAGAGCGGCGGACGGGUGAGUAAUGCCUAGGAAUCUGCCUGGUAGUGGGGGAUAACGUUCGGAAACGGACGCUAAUACCGCAUACGUCCUACGGGAGAAAGCAGGGGACCUUCGGGCCUUGCGCUAUCAGAUGAGCCUAGGUCGGAUUAGCUAGUUGGUGAGGUAAUGGCUCACCAAGGCGACGAUCCGUAACUGGUCUGAGAGGAUGAUCAGUCACACUGGAACUGAGACACGGUCCAGACUCCUACGGGAGGCAGCAGUGGGGAAUAUUGGACAAUGGGCGAAAGCCUGAUCCAGCCAUGCCGCGUGUGUGAAGAAGGUCUUCGGAUUGUAAAGCACUUUAAGUUGGGAGGAAGGGUUGUAGAUUAAUACUCUGCAAUUUUGACGUUACCGACAGAAUAAGCACCGGCUAACUCUGUGCCAGCAGCCGCGGUAAUACAGAGGGUGCAAGCGUUAAUCGGAAUUACUGGGCGUAAAGCGCGCGUAGGUGGUUUGUUAAGUUGGAUGUGAAAUCCCCGGGCUCAACCUGGGA